GACCUCGGAUCAGGUAGGGAUACCCGCUGAACUUAAGCAUAUCAAUAAGCGGAGAAAAA
rnacentral:rRNA from 1 species